UGCAACCUCAUGGUUACUAGUCAGGUUCGUUUCCACUGCAUCACAGUGGGAACUCCCCAGGAAUUGAAAACUUUGAAGAACACCUGUUUCUGGCAAGCAUGCAGAGAUGGGUGUUGAAUCGUCCCUAGAGACAGUGACAGUGUUAAGAUCUCUGGCCGUUUUUGACAUUAUGAUAAUUAAGCAUUCAUAGGCAGGCCAUAUUCAACUGUACAGGUUUUGCCUUAUAUAAUGAUAGUGAUGUAUGCAGAACUUAACAUGUCUGUAUGUGUUAACUCUGGGGGUGAAUAAGACGGGAAACACUCCUUUACUUCAGAAAUCUACAUUUUAGUGGGCCAGAAAGGUAAUAAACCAGUAGAUGAGUAUGUAUGUGAAAUGUAUCAGAUAAAAAUAAGUAUUAUUUAUACAAAUAAUUCAAACAGUUUGAUGUGAUGGUAGUCUAGUGGCUAGUUUAGAUGAGGUGGUUAGAAAGAAAUAAUAAAAUGAAAAGAAAUGAUGAUUUAAAAAUAAAAUCUUGGAGUUCCCUUCGUGGCUCAGCGAUUAAGGAACCCAACUAGGAUCCACGAGGAUGCCAGUUUGAUCUCCAGCCUUGCUCACUGGGUUAAGGGUCCGGCAUUGCCAUGAGCUGUGGUGUAGGUGGAAGACAUGGCUCUGAUCCUGCAUUGCUGUGACUGUGGCCUAGGCCAGCAGAUACAGCUCUGAUUCGACCCCUAGCCUGGGAACCUCCCUUUGCCAUGGGUUAUAGUUUUGUGUAACCAUUUAACGUCAAAUUUUUUGCAUUUAACUCAGUGACAAGAUUCCAAGUGUAAUAAAACAAGGUUUUAAAAACUUUGAAUAACUUUAUUUGUAUUUUUAUACAAGAGUUUUUUUCUUAAGUAUUCAGUGAUAACAGAUCUAAGAUUGGGAAGACAAUACUUUGAGGAUAACUCACCUGUCUUAGUUAAAAAUGCAUCUUUAAUUUUUCUGUCUUAUGAGCAGUUUUGUUUUUGUGUUCUUGCAUUGUUUGGUUCAAACUGUUGCUUUUUCAGAGGAUAGCAUACUGCCUUCCAGCCUAUUUUCCAAUUUUUUUUUUCAAACAAAUCAUUUCCAUGUCACCACUUGGGUUUUAUGUCCAUCAUUUUGAAUAGCUUCAAAAUAGAAGAUCAAUUUGGUAUGCCAUAAUUUAUGUAAUCAUCCUUAUUUUAAUAAUUUUUGAUUGUUUCUAGCAAUUUGCUAUUGUAAGUUAUUCUAUGAUAGACAUUUUGUGGCCCUCAGAUUUUUUUUUUCUGUAUUUGGAUAUCUUAAGGGAGAUUGUCCAGGUGUGAAUUUCUAAGUAUUAGUUUUUUUUAUCUAAAGAGUGUAAACAUUUUUUAAUAGAAAUUAAGGAAGUUUUGAUUUUAUGAUUAUGUCAAAUCGUGAUUAGACAGUCUAUGAAGGUUUUAACUAGAAGAAACAGAAGAAAAAAUUUCUGAAAGAGAAACUAUCUGUUGACUCUUCUACCAGGUUUAGAACUAGAGUUUUUAGUAGAGUUUUGGUAAAGUGUAAUGGAAGCAGUGCUUUAAUAAAGUAGGUAAUCGAAGCUUGGAACUGCUUAUAUUUAUCAAAAAACAAUUUUAAAGUGUAACUGAUCUAAUUUAUCUUCUCAUAUCUUAAUUUAUGUCUUUGGAAUCCUCUGGAAACAAAAAAGAUAAAAGCAGAUAGUUCUACUAAUCUUCAACUGUGCAAAUCAUUUCUUUCUCUUAUGGUCUUCAAUUCAUUCUACCACACUUUUAUGGGCCUCUCACCCUGUUAUUUGUUCUACUGCAUUUUAUGGACUUACUCAGAGAUUGGACUUAAAAAAUUUCAACUUGAAGAUUGAAAAGACUGGAGAGAACCUUUGUCAUCUUGCAUUCUGAACAUUACUUUUCUGGCCACCUAUCAUAGGUGAAUGGAUGUUAUGAUACCAAAGUCUUUGCCUACAAAGAAUUUAUAGAUAAAUAAAACUAGUAAGAGUUUACAGAUAAAUAAAACUAAUGAGUAAAAUACUUUAUUAUGUGUGUGUUCUUGAGACCCAGUAAGCAAAAUUACUUGCUCGUGAGUGUAUAACAAUUUUCCUUUCCAUUGACCAGUGAAAUCUUGAGAAGGUCCAAAGUGGUUAGUAAUGGAUGUUACUGUUUCAUAAAUUGCAUUUCUUCUCUUGUUUAUCAGGAUUUUAUUAUCUAACAAAACCACUAUAAAUUCUGUCCUUAUGCCAUAGAAGUGUAGCACGUAUAGUAACUGUCACUAAGAUGAAGCAUUUUUGUCCUCGACAUAAAAUAGUACACAAUAUAUUUAAAUUUAAAGUGUCUAUUUUCUGUUUACUUCCUGGUGUAAAAAAGAAAACAGUGAAAAUAUCUGAGCUGGUAAAGUUUUUUAUUUUGUGCACCCAGCAUCCAGGAAAAUACUUUGUUACUCUGUUUAGAUCCUUUAAAACAAAGUUUAUUAUUUUUAAAAAAAGUUCAAAAUAGUUAUCCCACUACUUUUCAGAGUAAUGAAUUUUACUUGGCUUGCUUAAGUAAGGAUUUUGUCUUGAAGAUGGAGUAUCUGGCAAAUUAAGGAAGUUUUGGGGUAAAGUAUAAGAAUUUUAUCUUCAAUUAUUCAUCUCUUCCAAAGGCAAGUAGCAACAGAUACUCUUAAAAUAAUAGCUCUGGGAGUUCCCGUUGUGGCUCAGCAGUAAUGAACCUGACUGGCAUCCAUGAAAACAUGGGUUCUAUCCCUGGCCCUGCUCAGAGGGUUAAGGAUCUGGUGUUGACGUGAGCCGUGGUGUAUGUUGCCGAUGCAGCUCAGAUCUGGUGUUGCUAUGGCUGUGGCCAGCAGCUGCAGCUCUGAUUCGACCCCUAGGCUGGGAACUUCCAAAUGCUGUG
rnacentral:lncRNA from 1 species